rnacentral:rRNA from 1 species
UACGGGGGGAGCAAGCGUUGUUCGGAUUUACUGGGCGUAAAGGGCGCGUAGGCGGUCAGCACAAGUCAGUUGUGAAAUCUCCGGGCUUAACUCGGAAAGGUCAACUGAUACUGUGCGACUAGAGUGCGGAAGGGGCAACUGGAAUUCUCGGUGUAGCGGUGAAAUGCGUAGAUAUCAGGAGGAACACCGGUGGCGAAGGCGGCCCUCUGGACGGAUACUGACGCUGAGGCGCGAAAGCGUGGGGAUCAAACAGG